GCCCCAAUGGCGCAGUGGUGCAGCGCUUGGUGCCUUUCCGAGUUUGGCUAACUCGAGAGGUCGUCGGUUCGAAUCCGGCUUGGGUCG
rnacentral:tRNA from 1 species